UCGAGAAUCUUCCGCAAUGGACGAAAGUCUGACGGAGCGACGCCGCGUGCGGGAUGAAGGCCCUUGGGUUGUAAACCGCUUUCGGAGGGGAUGAAAUCCUCGAGGGUACUCCCUCGAGGUUGACAGAGCCUCAAAAGAAGCACGGGCUAAGUACGUGCCAGCAGCCGCGGUAACACGUACUGUGCGAACGUUAUUCGGAAUCACUGGGCUUAAAGGGUGCGUAGGCGGCGAUUCAAGUCAGAUGUGAAAU
rnacentral:rRNA from 1 species